rnacentral:rRNA from 1 species
AAGGCCUUCGGGUUGUAAACCUCUUUUAGCAGGGAAGAAGCGCAAGUGACGGUACCUGCAGAAAAAGCACCGGCUAACUACGUGCCAGCAGCCGCGGUAAUACGUAGGGUGCAAGCGUUGUCCGGAAUUAUUGGGCGUAAAGAGCUCGUAGGCGGUUUGUCGCGUCUGCUGUGAAAAUCCGAGGCUCAACCUCGGACCUGCAGUGGGUACGGGCAAACUAGAGUGCGGUAGGGGAGAUUGGAAUUCCUGGUGUAGCGGUGGAAUGCGCAGAUAUCAGGAGGAACACCAAUGGCGAAGGCAGAUCUCUGGGCCGUAACUGACGCUGAGGAGCGAAAGCGUGGGGAGCGAACAGGAUUAGAUACCCUGGUAGUCCACGCCGUAAACGGUGGGAACUAGAUGUGGGGUCCGUUCCACGGAUUCCGUGUCGCAGCUAACGCAUUAAGUUCCCCGCCUGGGGAGUACGGCCGCAAGGCUAAAACUCAAAGGAAUUGACGGGGGCCCGCACAAGCGGCGGAGCAUGCGGAUUAAUUCGAUGCAACGCGAAGAACCUUACCAAGGCUUGACAUAUAGAGGAAAGGUGCAGAAAUGUACCCCCCGCAAGGUCUCUAUACAGGUGGUGCAUGGUUGUCGUCAGCUCGUGUCGUG